rnacentral:rRNA from 1 species
UAAGGAAUAUUGGUCAAUGGACGCAAGUCUGAACCAGCCAUGCCGCGUGAAGGAUUAAGGUCCUCUGGAUUGUAAACUUCUUUUAUUUGGGACGAAAAAGGGCCUUUCUAGGUCAACUGACGGUACCAGAUGAAUAAGCACCGGCUAACUCCGUGCCAGCAGCCGCGGUAAUACGGAGGGUGCAAGCGUUAUCCGGAUUCACUGGGUUUAAAGGGUGCGUAGGCGGGUAGGUAAGUCAGUGGUGAAAUCCUGGAGCUCAACUCCAGAACUGCCAUUGAUACUAUUUAUCUUGAAUAUUGUGGAGGUAAGCGGAAUAUGUCAUGUAGCGGUGAAAUGCUUAGAUAUGACAUAGAACACCUAUUGCGAAGGCAGCUUACUACGCAUAUAUUGACGCUGAGGCACGAAAGCGUGGGGAUCAAACAGGAUUAGAUACCCUGGUAGUCCACGCCCUAAACUAUGAUUACUCGACAUUUGUGAUACACAAUAAGUGUCUGAGCGAAAGCAUUAAGUAAUCCACCUGGGAAGUACGUCCGCAAGGAUG